UAAGCAUAUCAAUAAGCGGAGGAAAAGAAACUAACAAGGAUUCCCCUAGUAACUGCGAGUGAAGCGGGAAAAGCUCAAAUUUAAAAUCUGGCGGUCUUUGGCCGUCCGAGUUGUAGUCUGGAGAAGUGCUUUCCGCGCUGGACCGUGUACAAGUCUCUUGGAACAGAGCGUCAUAGAGGGUGAGAAUCCCGUCUUUGACACGGACUACCAGUGCUUUGUGAUGCGCUCUCAAAGAGUCGAGUUGUUUGGGAAUGCAGCUCAAAAUGGGUGGUAAAUUCCAUCUAAAGCUAAAUAUUGGCGAGAGACCGAUAGCGAACAAGUACCGUGAGGGAAAGAUGAAAAGCACUUUGGAAAGAGAGUUAAACAGUACGUGAAAUUGCUGAAAGGGAAACGCUUGAAGUCAGUCGCGUUGGCCAGGACUCAGCCUUGCUUUUCGCUUGGUGCAUUUUCUGGUUGACGGGCCAGCAUCGAUUUUGACCACUGGAAAAAGGCUAGGGGAAUGUGGCACCUUCGGGUGUGUUAUAGCCCUUAGUCACAUACAGUGGUUGGGAUCGAGGACCGCAGCACGCCUUUAUGGCCGGGGUUCGCCCACGUUCGUGCUCAGGAUGCUGGCGUAAUGGCUUUAAACGACCCGUCUUGAAACACGGACCAAGGAGUCUAACAUGCCUGCGAGUGUUUGGGUGGAAAACCCGAGCGCGUAAUGAAAGUGAAAGUUGAGAUCCCUGUCGUGGGGAGCAUCGACGCCCGGACCUGAACUUCGGUGAUGGAUCUGCGGUAGAGCAUGUAUGUUGGGACCCGAAAGAUGGUGAACUAUGCCUGAAUAGGGUGAAGCCAGAGGAAACUCUGGUGGAGGCUCGUAGCGAUUCUGACGUGCAAAUCGAUCGUCAAAUUUGGGUAUAGGGGCGAAAGACUAAUCGAACCAUCUAGUAGCUGGUUCCUGCC
rnacentral:rRNA from 1 species